rnacentral:rRNA from 1 species
UUGACCUCGGAUCACGUAGGGAUACCCGCUGAACUUAAGCAUAUCAAUAAGCGGAGGAAAAGAAACCAACAGGGAUUACCUCAGUAACGGCGAGUGGCAGCCGUCGAGAGUUCAAAGACAAAAAAAGAAGAGUGGGGCGGCAUG